GAAAUGUCGACUGGAGAAUCUGCUCCUCGUCGCUUCCUUUUGCUUUCGACUUCCCAUGGGCUGACAACCUCGAACUCCUGAGCUAUUUAGCAAGUUUAAGUUUGUAACGAAGAACAAAACACAAUCGCCAGAAUUCCAGAGAGUGCCGAUCUGUGACACUUAUUAAAGAUCUCCAAAUGGUAGGUAACUGACCUAUCCAUAUAGACAGUUAUCUAUUCAUUCACACAACUUCUGAAAUGUGAUAUUAUUUUUUGCUAGGGGCAAAUGUUUCAUGGAUUCUUUGAGAUCUUAUUUUCCAUUUGUGACUCUGAUCAUGAGGGUUUGACUCGGUCAAUUUUAUUUAACCGUAGAGCUAGUUUUAAAACCGGGACAUCAAAAUGUAUAACCGGCCCAUGUUGUUCCCUCAAGAGUUGGUUGCCAUUUUCAUGUGUACUUCUUAAAAUAAGUUUCUUUUAGGUGGUCGUCAAGCCAUUAGCUAUUUUUUGCCUUUAUACCAUAAGGUCCUUCUGGUUGGCGGUUUUCAUCAGCUUAUUCUAUUUUCGAAUAAAGUAAGUUUUUGUGUUAGACAAAAGUGCGUUGAAUCACGGAUUCAGAAAAUAUUGCUGUCUGGAAUUUAAUUUAAGAAUGACUCGAUUUCCACUUGAUGUUUUAGCUGCAUCUUUCGCGGGUUGAUUAAUAUUGUGUUUAUCACGGGAAGCCCAACUGGUUUGUUAAUUUCAAACUGUCUAUUAAAUAGCAAUCCCUUUUUUGUCAAUUAAACAGCAAUCCCCUUUUUU